GACAGAGGGUGCAAACGUUGCUCGGAAUUACUGGGCGUAAAGCGCGUGUAGGCGGUGCGGCACGUCCGAUGUGAAAGCCCGGGGCUCAACCCCGGACGUGCAUUGGAUACGACCGUGCUGGAGUCCUGAAGAGGAGGGCGGAAUUCCCGGUGUAGAGGUGAAAUUCGUAGAUAUCGGGAGGAACACCAGUGGCGAAGGCGGCUCUCUGGACAGGUACUGACGCUGAGACGCGAAAGCGUGGGUAGCAAACAGGAUUAGAUACCCUGGUAGUCCACGCUGUAAACGAUGAGAACUGGGUGUCGCGGGUAUUGACCCCCGCGGUGCCGAAGCCAACGCGUUAAGUUCUCCGCCUGGGAAGUACGGCCGCAAGGCUAAA
rnacentral:rRNA from 1 species